ensembl:lncRNA
CAUGCUGUUGGUCCCAUGGAUGGUCUCCUCUGACACUGUGGCCACUUUAUUCAUGGGCUACAUGGCUGAUGACAGGGGCUGGUUUUGGUCAACUGGUUGAAUCAUUUUGUAUACUUGGUUAUUCAAAGCCUUCUUAGUGGACACUCUCUGUUGGGUAGUAAUACAUGAUACAAAGAUCUUCACACAUCAGCUCACUCCCAGAUAUCCAUCCACACAGCUCUAUUCCUCUUCAUCUAUGAUCUUCCAAUAUUUUCCUUCCAGAACCCAGACCAGUCAACUAAACAUUUGCCACUGCCUAUGAGUCUAUUAUACAGUCAUCCCUUGCAUUCCUGGGGAACUGGCUCAAGGGACACCAAAACCAACAGGAGCUGCAUGAAGUUGGAAGAGAGAGACAUGGAGUCUAGAAAGACAGAAGUAAAGGAAAGUUGAUUAAAUUUCCUCAGGGGCAGUUUUGUCCACUGAUCAAUUUACAUUGAGACGAGUGCUUGGUCUGGAAUACACUGGGAGUUCAUUGAAUAUACUGCAUAAUUUUUUAGGAGGGAACGACAGGAUGAGAACAUAU